AGUGAACGCUGGCGGCAGGCCUAACACAUGCAAGUCGAGCGGCAGCGCGGGGGCAACCCUGGCGGCGAGCGGCGGACGGGUGAGGAAUUCGUCGGAAGCUGCCUUUUUGUGGGGGAUAACGUAGGGAAACUUACGCUAAUACCGCAUACGUCCUACGGGAGAAAGUGGGGGACCGCAAGGCCUCACGCAGAAAGAUGAGCCGACGACCGAUUAGCUAGUUGGUGGGGUAAAGGCCCACCAAGGCGACGAUCGGUAGCUGGUCUGAGAGGAUGAUCAGCCACACUGGGACUGAGACACGGCCCAGACUCCUACGGGAGGCAGCAGUGGGGAAUAUUGGACAAUGGGCGCAAGCCUGAUCCAGCCAUGCCGCGUGUGUGAAGAAGGCCUUCGGGUUGUAAAGCACUUUUGUCCGGAAAGAAAUCCCUGGAGCUAAUACCUUCGGGGGAUGACGGUACCGGAAGAAUAAGCACCGGCUAACUUCGUG
rnacentral:rRNA from 1 species